GGGGGCCUUUGGUCUCCAGCUCUGGCCUUAACUUGCUUCUCUCACUCUGUAGGGAGUGGAAUGACCCCAGGGGCAGCCGGCUUCUCUCCCAGUGCUGCGUCAGAUGCCAGCGGCUUCAGCCCAGGUUACUCCCCUGCCUGGUCUCCCACACCGGGCUCCCCGGGGUCCCCAGGUCCCUCAAGCCCCUACAUCCCUUCACCAGGUGGUGCCAUGUCUCCCAGCUACUCGCCAACGUCACCUGCCUACGAGCCCCGCUCUCCUGGGGGCUACACACCCCAGAGUCCCUCUUAUUCCCCCACUUCACCCUCCUACUCCCCUACCUCUCCAUCCUAUUCUCCAACCAGUCCCAACUAUAGUCCCACAUCACCCAGCUAUUCACCAACGUCACCCAGCUACUCACCGACCUCUCCCAGCUACUCACCGACCUCUCCCAGCUACUCGCCCACCUCUCCCAGCUACUCGCCCACCUCUCCCAGCUACUCGCCCACCUCUCCCAGCUACUCACCCACUUCCCCUAGCUACUCGCCAACGUCUCCCAGCUACUCGCCGACAUCUCCCAGCUACUCGCCAACUUCACCCAGCUAUUCUCCCACUUCUCCCAGCUACUCACCUACCUCUCAAAG
rnacentral:lncRNA from 1 species